CCCAUCUCAGGAUCACACCUGGAGAGUUUCUGGUACUCUACCAGUCCUAGUUGCAGAAGGGAGAGUCAAGCAGAUGCAUAGCCAUUCCAUUCCUAGCUUGGGCAGUGGCUUGCAAGUGGAAGGCAAUCUGCUACAAGU